CUCAGGGUCAGCCCCGCAGAGCCCCGAACGAAUAGCCCGAUCUUUCUGGAGCGUUUCCUGAUGGGGUUUGCGAGGAACGUCUGCUGGGAGGGUUAUUCUGAGAGCUGAUUGACAUAUGCAUGGGCAGAUGUUUUAUAAACUGCAUUCUCUACAAACUGAAGGGGCAAAUGUGAUGGAUUCCAAGGCUCCACAAGGACAUUAUCAUGGUCAAUGUCCAGCAGACCAGAUAUGGGGUGAUCAAUUGUUUGAAGGUAAAAGGUUGUCAAGAAUAACUUUAGACUUUGCUGGGAAUGCAAUAUCUUCUGACAAGGAGGAGUUGGCUGGAACAGCCUGGGCUCUGUACCUGUCCCUCAGAUGUCCUUUGGUGCUUUAGCCCAGUGACUCAUCGAUCUCCCAGG
rnacentral:lncRNA from 10 species